rnacentral:rRNA from 1 species
UACAGAGGUCCCAAGCGUUGUUCGGAUUCACUGGGCGUAAAGGGUGCGUAGGCGGGUCUUUAAGUCAGGGGUGAAAUCCUGGAGCUCAACUCCAGAACUGCCUUUGAUACUGAAGAUCUUGAGUCCGGGAGAGGUGAGUGGAACUGCGAGUGUAGAGGUGAAAUUCGUAGAUAUUCGCAAGAACACCAGUGGCGAAGGCGGCUCACUGGCCCGGUACUGACGCUGAGGCACGAAAGCGUGGGGAGCAAACAGG